UACGGAGGGGGCUAGCGUUGUUCGGAAUUACUGGGCGUAAAGCGCGCGUAGGCAGACCUGCAAGUCGGGGGUGAAAGCCCGAGGCUCAACCUCGGAACUGCCUUCGAUACUGCGGGUCUCGAGUCCGGGAGAGGUGAGUGGAAUUCCUAGUGUAGAGGUGAAAUUCGUAGAUAUUAGGAAGAACACCAGUGGCGAAGGCGGCUCACUGGCCCGGUACUCGGACGACUGAGGCACGGAAAGCGAUGGGGAGCAAACACGG
rnacentral:rRNA from 1 species